GUGGGGAAUAUUGCGCAAUGGGCGAAAGCCCGACCCAGCAACGCCGCGUGAAGGAUGAAGUAUUUCGGUAUGUAAACUUCGAAAGAAUAGGAAGAAUAAAUGACGGUACUAUUUAUAAGGUCCGGCUAACUACGUGCCAGCAGCCGCGGUAAUACGUAGGGACCAAGCGUUGUUCGGAUUUACUGGGCGUAAAGGGCGCGUAGGCGGCAAUUCAAGUCAUCUGUGAAAUCUCCGGGCUUAACUCGGAACGGUCAGAUGAUACUGCUUUGCUAGAGUGCAGAAGGGGCAAUCGGAAUUCUGGUGUAGCGGUGAAAUGCGUAGAUAUCAAGAGGAACACCUGAGGUGAAGACGGGUUGCUGGGCUGACACUGACGCUGAGGCGC
rnacentral:rRNA from 1 species